GUUAAAACCCACCAGGUCGGUGGUGAACCGGCUUCAGACGGUUUUUGUGGUGGUAGGGAGGCGCUCUGGUCUGGCGCUGAGCCCAGGCCACAGCGACCCGGCCAAGGAUGGCGGCUACCAGCAAGCUACCUGUCCUGCUGCUACUCAGGCUUAGGCCGUGCGCCCUGUGCUUCUGGCUGGCUACAUCAAGAGAACUUUAUCGUACCUUACCCGGAACUUUCGGACGUCGCUGUCCUGGAGCUGAAGAGUUCAGAAAUCCACGAGGAUGUCCUCGGGUCUCCGUGCAGGCCACCACUUGUCACGCCCACCUCGGCCGGCAAGGAAGACGCAACACGGUCUGAUUCUUCUCAACAGCCUUUACUGCAGGACCACUACAUUGUUGACACAGGGACCAUGAGCGGCAAAGUCGCUCGCCUUAUAUACACAACAGUAUGCUAAUAAUCCUUCAGGGAUUGGUGUAGCACGAGUCACCCCACUAUCAUCCCAGCUACUUGUCCUCCAGAGAUUGGCGUAGCAUGAACCAUCCCAUUAGCAUAGUACCGCCCCAGCCAGACUGACGCCAGGUACAAAACCCGUGCAUGCGCAGUACUGUUGUUCACCAUAGGAGGGCGCCAGAUCACCUCAUUAUCCUACGGCUGCCCUAGCAAGGGGACAAGUCUGCGCAUGCACGGUAAAUUGUUUACAAUCAGACAGGGCUGGAUGUCGGCACCCUAUUUGCUUUACCGCGCCGCUCCCUACACCUACCAAGUGUGUUUUUCUGUGACUGAGUUACCUCACUCAGGAUGAUAUUUUCUAGUUCAUUCCAUUAUCCUAUGAAUUUCAUGAUAUCAUUGUUUUUGAUAGCUGAGUAGUACUCCAUUGUGUAGCUGUACCACAAUGGCAACCCCAACAGUACCCACUGGGUCCUGAGAGAAAGAAGGAUAAGCCCAGGUAAGGCAGAAGUUCUCACAGGGACCUGGCAUAGAAAGUGAGCAGAGGUGCUCUAGGCAACUCCCUAAAGGCUCUCCCCAGUGACAAGAUAGAGGUCACAGCUUCCAGUACAGUGAGAGAAAAGAUUAGAAGCAAGCAUCACAUGGCAGCAUUUCCCUGCCUGAAUUCAUGCCCAGAAGCCAGGGUUACAGGGCCCUGGCCAGAUAGUCAGCCUUAACUGGCCAGAGUCCUGCUACUCAAGUUGCCCAAAAUGUAGCUGUUUACAGAUUCCUAGCUUGUAGAUACCAGCCUCCAUCACUGUCCACAGGACCAGCAGAGUGGCUGUUGGACCAACUGGAAUUAUUUCCCAGCCUCCUUCAUCGUAGGAUAAGAGAUUCUAAGUUCUGCAUCUUCCUUUCUUUUGCUCCAAUAAGACUCCAUGACCAAGGCAACAAAUUUAUAAAACAUAGCGUAUUCAGACUCAUGCUUACAGAACAAGUCCACUGUGGUACAGCAAAGGCAGAGUGAGAGGAACAGCUGAGAGUCUCUAGGGCCACAAGUGGAGACAGAUUGGGAAUCACUUGGGCUUUUGAAAACUAUAAAACCAACCUUAGGAACACGCUCUUCCCCAAGAAGCAGUGCCUUAUCCUUCUGAAACAGGUUUACCAACUGAAGCUCCCACCUCGACCAGCAAGAAAGACGCAACCCUGUUGGAUUCUUCUCAACAGCCGUUAUUGCAGGAAUACCUCAUUCUUGAUACGGGGGACCACAAGGAACAAAGGCACCAGCCUUAUAUACAAGACAGGCUGUGGCUGUAAACUUGUCCUCUGGGGAUUGGUGGAGUAUGAAAUACCUUAUUAGCAUGAAUAUCACUCCAGUCUGAUACCUGCCAGAGAAAUGCCAACACAUGCGCAUUGCAGGUGUUUAUCACCAACGACCACCAGAUGUCGGCGCCAUGUUUAGCCGCUCCCUACAACCAACUAGGAACAAAUACUGAAUCACAUAACAUAAACAUUCUAGACUUCAUGGAGCUCUAGACCAAUGCACAUUUUGGCUAGCCCCUCCACCUUGCACUAUAUGUCCUUACUGCAAGUCCUGGUUCUACCUGGUAAUUUGCUGCUUUGUUAGCUUCUUAGAUUCUGGCUUCUUCACUUCUUUCAUCUGCAUAUAAAAAGUCAACCUGGAAUAAUUCUGUCCCUGAUACCUCUGCCUCCACAGUUUUCAGGCUGGAAACUCUGCAGUCUCUACAUCUCUUUAUUGAAUAGAGACUUCCCAGUCUUUCAGAAUGCAUCAGUACCCACUCACCUCUUGCAGUUUGCACUACACCACACUGCAGUCCCUCUUAUUCUGUCAUUCCUGUUAGGCCCCAGGAACUCCUGGGAUUCCUUUUAGGCCCCUACAGAUGAGCAUAGUGUCUGGCCUACACCCAAGUAAAUCAUGAAUAAAUAACCAGGUAUCUCUAUCGGUGUUAGUCUGUGUUCCUAGUCUGGCCAGGAAAACGCUCCAAGGUUUCUUCCUUUGCUUCCGGAUAGCUGGACAUAGAAGACUGCGUAAAAGAUCUGAGUCCCAGACCCAAGGCAAGGCAACAGGUCCUGAGGGACCAGCACACAGCAGGUUCAGGGAUCCAGUGUAGAUCACCAACACCUGCUGUGGUCUCAGUUUUCCAGAGAUAGCUGGUGGCCAGACCCAGUGCUCCCAUGAUUCCUACCUGUUUCUCUACGUUCAUCCUUCUGGCUACCCCUGCUCCUCACAGUACAGUUGUUGUUUGUUUCUUUGUUUGAUUGAUUGAUAUUUUGAAUCUCCAUCCGUGCUUGCAUCCACUUUCUUGCAUUAGUCACCCAAUCAUUUCUGUUGCUUUGUUCCAAGACCUUGAUGGAUUCAGGAAACAAAGAUUGCCUCAUACAAUAGCAAAUGAACAAUUUAGAUCAGGGAUCUGUGCACAGGCAAAUGCCUACCUGGUAACAGGUGUACACAUCCCAUCCUCACUCCAUAAAAAAAUCACACCCCAAAAGAUGGUGGUAGCAGUAGCAUCUGAAAAGGAUAGUUAGAACCUUGAAUAGAACCCAGAAACUGUUCGUAAUCAGGUCUAAAAAGUGAGCUGGCUCUUUAACAACAAACUAUUCCAGACCCGAGCUCUCUAGUGUAAGGUUUACAGCUUGCAAGUAUUUCACAUUUCAUAUGCACAGCUUGCAAUUGACAGAGCUGUGACUGGAGCCUGGGUUCUAACUCCUAACAGGUCUGGGUUUACUGGGCUAUAUCGUGGCUUGGCUUGUCAGAAAAGGUAGAAUUGUUCUGUUUUCUAUACAUGGCAAGAGUUUUAAGAUGAUAGGAAGGUUUUAUUUUUCAAUAUUUAUUUUAAAGAUCUACCUGACUACAGAUGAAUUAUGGGAUGGGGAAUUGGGUUAAUGAAUAGAGCACUUGCAUGAGGACUUGGAUCAGCAUCCUCAGAACUCAGGUAAAAUUCAGGCUCGGUAGCACUCCUGCAAUCCCAGGUCUUCAAAGGCAAGAUGUGAGGUAGAGACAGGAGCAGACCCAGAAUCUAGCCUAUGUGAAGCAGCAAAAAACAAAGAGACCUUAUUCAAACAAGGAAGAAGGAGAAUAUGGGCCGACACCUUAGGUUAUCUCCUGAACUCAAUGUGUCCCCCUAACAUGCACACUGUAGUAUGUGCCCAUACCGUCACAGGGAAUUAAAUAAGACUCAUAUUGAAAGCUUGGAAAACAGUGAGAUUGGGAACAAACUUGGUCGGGAUUCUGGGGGAUUAGAGUUGCUUUAGCAAUUGGAGGGAUACAGAAACCAGGAGCUUUGGAGUCUAUACAAGGAGGAUCAGUGGUGCAAGAACUUUUCAAUUCCAUCUGCCCCCAUGCCUGUUCCACCUGGAUAGGUGAUUACAGUGUUUCACUUCUGAGCCCUAUGAAGCGGAGGGUAUAGCAAAGAAUCCCAAAGUGUGUGGUUAUUUUGUUGAAUUUCUGAGUCAAGGCUCCGCAAUACAAUGCUUGAGGCUAAGACUGAGAGAGAUUCUGAGCUGAAGACUUGGGGAAGGCUUCUGCUAGCUUGUGUGUCUUGUGGAGUAUUUCUGCUGACACUGCAAAGAAUUGCCAUGGCAACCAGUAAAAUAAAUUUCUGAGUUCUUUCAGUCUCCCCUCAAGGGAGGCAGAUGCCAGUAGGUGUGGCUGUGUCAUUAAGGGUGCUAGGAAGUCUCAGAUGAUCAUGUCCCUCUGAAGGUCUAAUAAAUUGUCCUCCAGGUCUCAGGCAGAAGCAGCUCCAGCAUGGUAAAUAGGGGAGUCCAAGGCUAUGGGACAGGAGAUGGAAAUAGUUUACCAGAGAUUCAUUCCCAUAGCAGGCUGCACAUGUCAACCACCUUCCAGUUUAAAAUGCAAGAUGCAUGGAUUACUCAUUUCCUUACAUACAAAUAAAUAAACUGACAGGGGUGUGGCCAGGACAUCAGCAGGUAGAUAUUUUAUCAGAGUCAGUCACUUUUCUGUUGCUAUGAAGAGACAACACAACCAAGGUAAUUUAUAGAAGGAAGAGUUAUUGGGGAAUACAGUUCCAUAGGAUUAGAGUCCAGGGCCAUCAUGGUGGAGAGAAUCCCAGCAGCACGGCAGACAGAGAUGGUGGUGGAGCAGUAGCUGAGGGCUAAAACCUUAUCCACAGUUGCAAGGCAGAGGGAGGUCACGGGGAACUGUAUGCUCCUUGGGAACCUACAAAGCCCAUUGUAAGAAGCAAUACUGCCUCCAACAAGGCCACACCUCCUAAUCCUUCCCAUAUAGUUCCACUGAUAGGUGAGUGAGUGUUGAAACACAUGAGGUUACAGAAGCCAUUCUCAUUCAAUCUACCACAAUCAGUAUUAUGUAAUCAAUGUUGAGGAACCCCGAGUGAGAGAGUCCAUAUCCAGAGCAUACUGUGUCGCUGUGUCGUCUUGGGCUAACGUUCAUCACUUCUCCAGGCUUUGGGUCCUUUACCUGCAAAGUAAUGUCCUUGUGAUGUGCCAUCAGCCUUGUCACCUGACACAACACAGAAUCACCCAAGAAGGACAGCAUGCCAGUGAGGGACUGGGUCCAUUGGUUUAUCCUGGAAGCAUGACUUAAGGGGAUUGCUUUAAUGAAAUUAAUUGUGUAGGAAGAUCCGUCCCGUUGAGGGUAGCAACGUUCUCUAGGCAAGGGCUACUGAACUAGGUAAGUCAAGAGGUUGCACUGAGCACAGUCAAGCCAAUGCGCAACUGAGCACACACAAAUCCAUUUGUCUGUUCUUGGCUGUGAAUGAGACAUGGCCAACUGUCUCGAGCCCUUGCUACUAAGACUUUGCCACAAGGAUGGAUUUUAACCUAGAAUUGUUAGUGAAAACGAACCCUUUCUCUCCCAAGUCUCUUUUUGUCGAGAUAUUUUAUCAUAGUAAGACAGAAGGCACUAGGACAAUCAUCCAACUCACUGUGACUCUUAAGCACAACAUUCCACCCACCACCUAUCAUGCCCUCUGUCAGUUAUGCUCUGGAUCAACCCACUGUCAUGUACAGACCCUACCUCUCAAGACUCACUGCCUGCUUGUAUCCUUCCUAUUGAUGGUGAGUCUGUUUUUGACAUCCUGUAAUUCUUCUUAGUUCAGACUAUUAUUUUGCCUCUGUGAACCUUCACUUUCUGUGUCUCUCUUCUGCAACUGGGCAUUUCCACUUCACAGGAACCUUCUAAUAGCCCUGGGACUUUUAUCAAAGGAGUGCUUCUCUCACAGGAGCUCUUAGAUCCUGUUGUAGGAAUAUAAGGCUUAUAUUUUGAGGUAGGACGAAGGGCACGAAUCAAAUUAAUUUCUUUGUACACAAGCUUAUGGCACUUCUGGCAUGAUUUACAAUACCCAUCUGUGUUUGUGAAUGAGGCAUUAUUUAACCAAGAAAAUAUUUUCUCUCAUUUCCACUUUGCCUAGGACAAGUUUGUCAGGAGAAACCCCAAAGAGAUGAGGAGGCACCAAGACCAUGUUGAGCCCAUGGCAGCCUGGGAAAUGCUUGCAGCUCAUCCCCCAUCUCGUUUAUCUCUAGGAGUCUCAUUAUAUUGCAGGGUCAGUGGUGUGCUGAAGUAUGUGUGCCUGUGGUAAGGACUUACUUUGUAGCGCUGUUUUAAACCAUCUCUGUUCAUGGUUGUUAGAAUGGAUGAGUGGGCAAUAGCAGGUCCAUGCCUGUGCAGUAAUAUAGAACUGAAAAGGAUGCAGUUGAUUUCUAUGUACUAAUAAGUAUUGGCUCAUAUUGCAGUACAUAUGGUACAUUUUAUAAAAAGUAAAGGAAAGUGCUACAAAAGAUUGUCCUCAAGGGUAGGAAGGAGAGACUUACUAUGUGUGUAUUUGCAUAGGUGGGUUUCAAAAUUCUUUAGCUUUAUCCAUUACACGUAAGUGAUUAUGGGAUUGUGUCAAUUUUAUUGAUAUAAUUAAAGUUGACUUCAUCUAAUCAAAGCUUCAAACUCUUGGAUUUCUCUUAAUUAUGACAGUGAAAUAUUUAUAAACAGAAACCUGAAAAUGGUGCAGUGUAGAAGGAACACUAGGUUGAGAGACCUCUGCAAUCUUGGUUAUCUUCCUGGAUUCUCAGUGGCUUCUCUUCGAAAUGAGAAGGUAUCUGUCCGUAUAUACAAUUCCGUGAGCCUACCCUGAGAUAGAUCAACGGUCAUUGUAAUGUGUGUGUGUGAGUGAGUGUGUGUGUGUGUGUGUGUGUGUGUGUGUGUGUG
ensembl:lncRNA